rnacentral:lncRNA from 1 species
CGUCAAAUCUCACUUCUUGAACAUAAAUUGAUGGCCAAGUAUUAAAAAUAACAAUUCAAUAAAAAAAAACAUAUUUAUAAAACCAAGACAUAUCCUCACAGGAUAAUAAUUAUGAAAACAUGGGUAAUCAUCAAUAUAAUAUAUAUUAAAGUCACUCACAUUUCUCCACAUCACAUUAAUCCCUAUGAAUUACAACGUAGUCUCCUACACCAUCAACUUCCACCAACUAAUAUAUCACACAAGCAUAUAAGUUCUACAUAAUAUUUCAAAUAGGAUUCUAAGAUCACAUAGCCAUAAAUUUAUCAUACUUAUCAUUCACAUUACUAGAAAUAAUUAAACAUCCAUAUAUCACCAUUAUCAUCAAUACACAAGCCAAAUCAUGUUUAAUAAACAUAAGUCUAGGGCUAAAUAUAUGAAAAUCACAUUUCAAUAGAAAUCAUAUUUAUAAGUCCAAUGCACAUUUACAAAUGAUAUUAAUAUAAGAAAUUAAGGUAAUAACCAUAUCACAAUAUUCAAGUCACUCUCCAACCAAUGUAGGUCACUAGACUUCACUUAAGUCUCCCGUAGUACUAAUUUUAGUAUUUGGAACAUUUCGAGACAUGUUGACCAAAAGUCAACUCUCGGUCAAAGGUAGGGUCCACAAUUCUACACAAUUCAAUCCGAAAGAUUCACACAUUAGAUUUUGGAUCCGUAACCUUCUAAGGUCCACAUUAUGCUUCUAAAACAACCUACCAAAAUUUCAUCAUGAUCCAACGGUCGGAUCUUCGUUAAUUACAAAUUCAAGUGGCGGCCAACGCUUGAUUUUACAAACUUAGAAAUCCAAUUCAAGAAGAUCCGUACGUCGGAUUCCCGAUCUGUCAGUUCUAGCUAUCCUCAAAUAUUAUGUUCUACAAUGCAUUAAAGUUUGGUGACGAUCCAACUGUCGGAUCAUUGAUUCAUAUAAAGGUCAAGUGAUGUAUUGUAAUGAAACUAAG